GCUUUUUAACAAGCCUUAGAAAUGCUAUACCCCAGAAGCCCCAUAGUGCCUGGCACAUAGAGAACUUUUCUCUUAGGGCGGACCCAUUGGCAUUCAAAUUGUUAGGCACGAUGAAGAGUCUCCAUUACACAUCUCUCUCCAAAUGUAGCUGCUUACCUAGAUAGUUUUGCUUGUUUUUGUCUUACAGAUCCCCUAUGCUGCAAGCUUGAUCAGGAAAGAAAAGCUUGGUGCCCAUCUCAGCAAAAGCUAAAAGGUGCCCAGAACCACUUACUCUCGUUUUCUUGUAAGACAGAGCCUAAGCACUUCUGACCCGCACAGAGACUGCAAAUUGAAAGGGCUGGGGAAUCGAAUACAAAAAUCAGGUUCGGGAGAACCCAAGGACAAGUGACCUCAAGGCAGCAUGGACAA
rnacentral:lncRNA from 1 species